rnacentral:rRNA from 1 species
AGGAUAAACGCUGGCGGCGUGCCUAACACAUGCAAGUCGAACGUCUCUUCUUUUGGGAAGAGGAGUGGCGGACGGGUGAGGAACACGUGGGAACCUGCCCUACAGUGAGGAAUACCGGCGAGAAAUCGCCGACAAGACCGCAUAGCCCUCUCUGGUGAGAGCCAGAGAAGGAAAGCUUCGCAAGAGGCGCUGGAGGAGGGGCCUGCGUCCGAUUAGCUAGUUGGUGGGGUAAUGGCCCACCAAGGCGACGAUCGGUAGCUGGUCUGAGAGGACGACCAGCCACACUGGAACUGAGACACGGUCCAGACUCCUACGGGAGGCAGCAGUGGGGAAUAUUGGACAAUGGGGGCAACCCUGAUCCAGCCAUGCCGCGUGGGUGAAGAAGGCCUUCGGGUUGUAAGCCUUUGUACGGGAAGAAAGCUUGGGUUAAUAACCUUGAGUCAUGACGGUACCGUAAGAAUAAGCACCGGCUAACUCGUGCAGCAGCCGCGGU